rnacentral:ncRNA from 2 species
CCCUGCCUGUAGGGGUGUCCUCCGCGGAGGGCUGAGAUUGCGGCGCGUUACGGCUGCUCGACCCUUCGAACCUGAAACGGAUCAUGCCGACGAAGGAAACAGCAGGCGCACAUCU